UGCUUGCACUUGUUUUUGUUCAGUUUUGUGGACAAAGACUUACACAAGUCAGAAAACAAAUCCUCUUUCUCAACCCAGAACUCAUGGCUCACUAUGAGUUUUGAAACAUAUUAGAAAGAACAAG
ensembl:snoRNA